GCCACGGCCUUUCACCCAGCCCAAAACAGGCCCUCGUGGACAUAAAACCCGACAGCUAACCCUAGCCUCCCUCCGUGCAGCACACCUUCCUUCUUCCUUCUAGCGCCGCCACCUCUCUUCGCCCUAGCGCCGCCGCAUCUCCACACCCAAGCACAGCCGGUGAGAGAGAGGAAUGGAAGGGAGCACCGCCACUACCCAGCACCGCCACCCCACCCUCCUCCCCAAAUCGCCGCCUCCUCCCGGCCUUCUCCUCCAGAUCUUCACGCGCGGCGCUGCGUAAGAGCGGGCACGCCGCAUUCUCCAUCGCUAGCACGCCGCCGCCCGACCUCGUCUCCUUGCUGACUGUAGAGAGAGAGGGGGGGAGGGAGGGAGGGAGAGGGAGAGAGAGAGAGAGGGGAGAAGCAAGAGGGGAUGGAGCAAAGAGAACAGGAGGCCUCCGUCGGCGGCAUGUUCUGCAGCUUUCGCGCAGAUCUGGCGGACCGACGACCCGGCGUCUCCGGCCGCGCUGCGUCAGGCCUCCCCAGAACUCGCGGCCCUCCGCUUGAGGUCGGCCCCACUGGCGGCUAGUUCUUGGUUCUUCUAUCUGCUGGCCGGCAGCUGUUCUUGCCUCCCUGUCAACAGCUGACCGAGUCAACACUGCUCAUGUGCUUAUAUGUCAUGCUGAAGGUUUUUCUCAAACCAGAUUGGUAAGAUGUCUUAGAUAUUCAAGGCAGCAAAUAAUAGCUCAAACAGAGGCAAUGGUUCAUGCUGACAUGUUGAGAUUCCAGCCAUAGGUAUGGCUAGUGUCCCCUUUGUUAAUGCUACUGUUUUAAAGCACAUUUCCUCUAACCUCAACUGUAUGAGUAAAGCACAUUUCAUCUUAGGACCACUGUCGAUGCACGUACCUUCACAGGAUUUAUUAUUUUCCCUUUUAUUUUUUGUCAACUGUGCUAAGCUGCAAGAACAUGAUAAAACCGUUUUUGCAGAACCAUCCAAUCUAGAGGUUGGCUCCUAUCUUUUGUUUCUCUCUAUUUUGUGCUCUGAUGAUCUAAUGUCUUUCUAAUUGCAAGAGCUUAUCUGGGUUAGAGACCUUGCUUGUGUGUUGGUAGGUAUAAAAUGCAUGGCCUCUUGGUUACAAUUCAUACUUGCGAUGAAAUGUUUGAUAUUUUGUUUUUUUGUUGGUUCACUACACAGGUGACGUAUUUUGAUUUUUCUUUUGGCUGGUACACUACACAGGUGCCAGAUUCUUUCAUAGUGAUGAGUUAUAUGUUAUAUCCUAGCUAAAUCUUUGAAUUGUUUCAAAACAAGAAGCUUUACAGUUCAACGGUAUGUAUUUUCUAAUCAUUUGUUUUGAAAACUUCAUCUUAAUGACCUUGUCCUGUACAACAACCAUGCAACUCGCAUAAGAUAUGUGUUGGGUAUCACUAUAUUGUAAAAUUGAAGAAUUUUCACAUCAAUAUCUUCUUUUUUUUUUCUUCCCUUCAUUUUAUCUCAUUUUCUCAGGUGAGAUAUGUUAAUAUUGUUAUCAGCAGGUAAUGGGUGUUUCUCUUACCCAAACACACAGGACUUUGAAGUGCACUCAAGCUUCUAGUUGACAGUUUGACAUAUCAAUAAGUCUGAUAACUAUGAAGUUUCAUGUUUACAGUGCAUAUACUUGUACCGUCCACACCAUGAUAUGAUAUUAUUCAGAUACUAUUGAUAAUAAAUGCUACUUCACUGUUGCCAAUGGGUCUAGAGGAUAGAGUUUCUAACUAUGCUGCAAGUUCUUUUUUUUUGCUUAAUGUUUCAAAAUCUUGAUUGCUCUAUCACUUUCCGUUGCUCUUUGUGGAUGCAACGUUGUUUUGGGCUACUUCCUUUUAGGUUCAUUCAGUAUAGAUGUCGGCUGCUUCUUAUUUUUGUUAUCCAAUAGAUUCAGCAUAAGAUGGAGUGCUUCUAUUGAGCAUCUCAAUUAUGGUUUACACUGGAGUCUAAGAGUUGCAUCUUUGCAGGUCUAUCUUAUUGGAGUCAGCGAUGCAAUCUGACCUGGAAUAGAAUGGAACUCGCAAGCUUUCCACCUGCCAGAGUCCUAUGAUAGGAGGAGAUGUUGCCCCCAUGACCUCUUCUUAUUUUGUAUUUGGGUUUAACCGAACAUUUGCUCAGUCCGAAUUCUGAACCUCUUUCCUUGACUGCUUGCUUGGUGGAUUCAAUUCUGUGAUGUAACAAUUUUUGUACAUAUAAAUAGAGGAAGGUACUGUGAUGUAUACGUGACAUUUCGUGUCCUUUUUUCUUUUCUUUUUUGUUUUUCAUUUUCAAUAUCAGAGACGGGGAUAUUGGAGAGACA